AGGGAUUUAACUCAGUGGUAGAGAAUUUGCCAAGCAUGCAUAAGGCCCUGGGUUCAAUUCCCAGCAUGACUA
rnacentral:tRNA from 1 species